GUACCGCCUCACGAGCAUCCCUAAAUCAUGAUUAAUUUAAAGCCUUUUCUCUCCUUAGGCCUGACACAAGCAACCGCUUUUCUGUCACAUCGAUUUUUCUGUCCUUGCAGAUUCGAAGCCAGGGUUGAGUCCUCCUAACAGGGCGAGUUCUCUGACAAGGAAGUUUUGCAAGCAAAUUUACAGCUGGAGUCAAGCUCGUCAGUGAGGGCCAGAGGGGAACUGUCGCAAUCCACUGGUGACCAUGACUUAAUCCUGAAGGAAAACAAGUCUUUUCCCUUCUGGUCUCUGCGCUCUUGAAGGACAUUUGGGCCUGAAGUCCCAGGACUUAAGGCUGAUCCCGGCACAGAUGAGGACAGGAAGAGGUGAGUGAAUAAAUUUGGUCUUGAAUUUGAUAUUUUUAUCUCCCAUUGUUUGUGGGCCUGAUGUUCUCUAAUUUAUCAUUUGCUAUUUAAGAUGCCCAUACAUUCAAGGCAUCUUUUUAAAUAUGUCCCCACCUAUACAUGACAUAAUUACAUUAUUACCUUGUUAAAAAUCUUAUAGCUGUGCUGUGCAGCAGAAACACAAUGUGAGUUUUAAAUUUUCUAAUAGGCACAUUAAAAAAGUAAAAAGAAUAGUAUAGUUCAUUUAACUCAACAUAUGUAAAGCCUUGCCAUUUCAGCAAGUCAAUUAAUAUUAUUCAUUAACAGAAUUACUAAUGAGAUAACUUACGUUAUUUUUUUCAUAGUAGGUUUCUAAAAUCCAGUGUGCAUUUUAACUUAAUGGGCAUCUCAGUUCAGACCUACUUUUUUUUUUUUUAAUUUUUUUUAAUGUUUAUUUAUUUUUGAGAGAGAAAGACAGAGCACAAGCUGGGGAGGGGCAGGGAAAGAGGGAGACACAGAAUCUGAACCAGGCUCCAGGCUCUGAGCUGUCAGCACAGAGCCUCACACAGGGGUAGAACCCGCAAGCAGUGAGAUCAUGACCUGAGCCGAAGUCGGACACUUAACCGAAUGAGCCCCCCCAGGCACCCCAUUUCAGACCUGCUUUUGACUAUGAUGUAGAUUACUGCAUUUCAAGUCAACAAUGUGCACUUGUAACGGCUGUAUUUAGCACAGAGCUAGAGUUCACAUGUAGGUGUAGGCAACGUUUUCCCUGCCAUUAUGCACGUUCUCAACCCCUGUAAUUCAGAAAUAAUCCCAUCCUCAGUCCCCUGUAUGAAAGCUGGGUGACCAACCAUCCUGAUUUACCCAAGGGUUUUCUGGGACACAGGACUUGCAACUGUAAAGCCAACACAAUCUCAAGCAAAACCAAACGGCUUGUCAUCCCACGUGUAAACCAUGCCUGUCCAUCCACACAUUUUAUCCUCUUGGCCGCAGUGAGUGGAUCAGAUUUAGAACAUAUACACCUGCUGCCACUUAUGAGAUUUUGUGGGAACCACUGGGGAAAAGACCCUCACUUUCUGCAGUAGUUAUUAUAUUGAGCUUCAGCUAACCUUCUUUACAUCAUGAGGAGAGAGCCUGGUUGACAGAGAAACCAGUUCCUGGAUCCAGCCUUGCGUGAAGCUACUCUGCCCUUGAGCUUUUCAGUAAGACAAAAAAGGGGUUUUUUUUUGUUUUUUUUUUUUUAAGAAGCAAUGGAGAUCUGCUGUUUGUUCCUCUCCUGUCUCUUUCUCUCUAGCUCUCAGACCUUUGCCUUUGCUCACGUUUGCGAGUGCUUUGCUCCAUUGUAGUGACUCUCACGACGGAUCAUAAGUCUCAUUCUAGAUAUUGGAACAAUCUAAAGUUCAUGAGAUCUCCAACCCAUGGGCUAGGGACCCUUGGGAGAUUGUGGAGUUGUAAGGUCAGCAUCUGAAAAUCCGUCCAUCCAUUUACGUCUUCUUAAUCAAUGAAUACGAAAAGUGAAAUCAUUAGCAUGUGGAAAGAUAACACUUUUCGACAGCUCCAGGAGAAGACUGAGUAGGCAUUCAAUAGAUAUCAUCGAGCUACUACUAUAUAACUUGACAAGGUUAAGUGCCUUAUAUGAAGCAUUUAACACAUAUUAUAGCAUAGUAUUUAGACUGGACUAUUAUCCUUGUUGUUUUGACAUAGAAAAAUAAAUUUAUAUAUAUAUAUAUAUAUUCUUUAUUCACUAUUCAUUUAACACAUUUAUUUUUUAAACUAUUAUGUUCUCCAUGACUUUAACAUGUGGUGGAGAAAAUAAGCUUACAAAUAUAGCCUACGAAACCACGCAUGAGUAAAUAAAGAACUAGGAGACGCCACUGCAGAGGAGAGGACGAGAAGCACCUGAGGUCAGAGGUGGGAAUGGGUGCAGAAGGGACUCUGACACAAUCGGAGAAGCUCCCACAAGCAUGGUGCCUGAUGCCUAACACAGCAAAGUGUAUCUGCUCUAUUGCAAAUGUCUUUACCUUUUUCAGAUGAGAGUUCCAUUAUUUCACAAUGACAAAUUUUACUUUGUUUUUCUGCAUCAUGGUGACAUAAGGUCAUGUUCCCAGGGUUGUGGAAUCGAGCCCCACAUCAGGCUCCUCGCUGAAUGUGGAGUCUGCUUAAGAUUCUCUCUCUCUCUCUCUCUCUCCCUCUGCUUUUCCCCAACUCGAGUGUAUGCUCUCUCUUUCUCUCUGUCUCAAAAAAAAAAAAAAAAAAGUAUUUGAGGCUGGAGUUUCCU